GACUGGUGAGUAACGCGUGAGCAACCUGCCUAUCAGAGGGGAAUAACAGUGAGAAAUCAUUGCUAAUACCGCAUAUGCUCACACCAUCGCAUGAUGGAGUGAGGAAAGGAGCAAUCCGCUGAUAGAUGGGCUCGCGUCUGAUUAGCUAGUUGGUGGGGUAACGGCCUACCAAGGCGACGAUCAGUAGCCGGACUGAGAGGUUGAGCGGCCACAUUGGGACUGAGAUACGGCCCAGACUCCUACGGGAGGCAGCAGUCGGGAAUAUUGCGCAAUGGAGGAAACUCUGACGCAGUGACGCCGCGUAUAGGAAGAAGGUUUUCGGAUUGUAAACUAUUGUCGUUAGGGAAGAAAAAAGACAGUACCUAAGGAGGAAGCCCCGGCUAACUAUGUGCCAGCAGCCGCGGUAAUACAUAGGGGGCAAGCGUUAUCCGGAAUUAUUGGGUGUAAAGGGUGCGUAGACGGGCGCCUAAGUUGGUUGUGAAAUCCCUCGGCUCAACUGAGGAACUGCAACCAAAACUGGGUGUCUUGAGUGUCGGAGAGGAAAGUGGAAUUCCUAGUGUAGCGGUGAAAUGCGUAGAUAUUAGGAGGAACACCAGUGGCGAAGGCGACUUUCUGGACGAUAACUGACGUUGAGGCACGAAAGUGUGGGGAGCAAACAGGAUUAGAUACCCUGGUAGUCCACACCGUAAACGAUGGAUACUAGGUGUAGGUUGUAUUAAGCAAUCUGUGCCGACGCUAACGCAUUAAGUAUCCCACCUGGGGAGUACGACCGCAAGGUUGAAACUCAAAGGAAUUGACGGGGGCCCGCACAAGCAGUGGAGUAUGUGGUUUAAUUCGAAGCAACGCGAAGAACCUUACCAGGGCUUGACAUAUAGAGGAAAGAUCUAGAGAUAGAUCCCUACUUCGGUACCUCUAUACAGGUGGUGCAUGGUUGUCGUCAGCUCGUGUCGUGAGAUGUUGGGUUAAGUCCCGCAACGAGCGCAACCCCUGUUUCUAGUUGCCAGCACGUAAAGGUGGGAACUCUAGAGAGACUGCCGGUGAUAAAUCGGAGGAAGGUGGGGAUGACGUCAAAUCAUCAUGCCCUUUAUGUCCUGGGCUACACACGUACUACAAUGGCCGUUACAGAGAGAAGCGAUGCAGUGAUGCGGAGCAAAACUUAAAAAAGCGGUCUCAGUUCGGAUUGAAGGCUGAAAUUCGCCUUCAUGAAGCCGGAAUUGCUAGUAAUGGCAGGUCAGCAUACUGCCGUGAAUACGUUCCCGGGCCUUGUACACACCGCCCGUCACACCAUGAGAGUUGGAAAUACCCGAAGC
rnacentral:rRNA from 1 species